rnacentral:rRNA from 1 species
UACAGAGGUGGCAAGCGUUGUUCGGAAUUACUGGGCGUAAAGGGCGCGUAGGUGGCCUUCUUAGUCAGACGUGAAAUCCCCGGGCUUAACUCGGGAACUGCGUCUGAUACUGGAAGGCUCGAGUUCGGGAGAGGAAUGUGGAAUUCCAGGUGUAGCGGUGAAAUGCGUAGAUAUCUGGAGGAACACCGGUGGCGAAGGCGGCAUUCUGGACCGAAACUGACGCUGAGGUGCGAAAGCGUGGGGAGCAAACAGG